UACGGAGGGUGCGAGCGUUGUCCGGAAUCACUGGGCGUAAAGAGCUCGUAGGCGGCUCAUUGCGUCGUCGGUGAAAUCCCGCGGCUCAACCGCGGGUCUGCAGUCGAUACGGGCAGGCUAGAGUUCGGUAGGGGAGACUGGAAUUCCUGGUGUAGCGGUGAAAUGCGCAGAUAUCAGGAGGAACACCGGUGGCGAAGGCGGGUCUCUGGGCCGAUACUGACGCUGAGGAGCGAAAGCGUGGGGAGCGAACAGG
rnacentral:rRNA from 1 species